GAUGAACGCUGGCGGCGUGCUUAACACAUGCAAGUCGAGCGGAAAGACGCUGCUUUUGUGGGGUGCCCGAGUGGCGAAGGGGUGAGUAACACGUGAGUAUCCCGCCCUUGACUUUGGGAUAACUUCAGGAAACUGGGGCUACUACCGGAUAGGAGCUCUUGCUGCAUGGGGGUGGUUGGAAAGUUUCGGCGGUUGGGGGUGGACUCGCGGGUUACCAGCUGGUUGGUGGGGUAGUGGCUUACCAGGCCUUCGACGGGUAGCCUGCCUGGGAGGGGGACCGGGCACCUGAGGACUGAGAGACGGAGCAGAGGGGUACGGGAGGCAGCAGGGGGGAGUAUUGCACAAUGGGGCGAAGUGUGAUACAGAAGCGCCGCGUGCGGGAUGCUGGCCUUCUGGUUGUAAACCGCUUUGGCCUGUGACGAUGCGUUUUUGACGGUACUGGAUAAAGAAGCACCGGCUAACUACGUG
rnacentral:rRNA from 1 species